rnacentral:rRNA from 1 species
UACUCCCGCCGGCGACCGGCGCACGGGCGAGUAACACGUAUGAAACCUGCCCGUAGCAGGGGGAUAAGCGGAAGAAAUUCCGUCUAAUACCGCGUAACAACCCGAGGAGGCAUCUCCUCGGGUUUAAAGGAAGCGAUUCCGGCUACGGAUGGUCAUGCGUCGCAUUAGCUAGUUGGCGGGGUAACGGCCCACCAAGGCGACGAUGCGUAGGGGUUCUGAGAGGAAGGUCCCCCACACUGGUACUGAGACACGGACCAGACUCCUACGGAAGGCAGCAG